rnacentral:rRNA from 1 species
UACGUAGGGGCCGAGCGUUGUCCGGAGUUAUUGGGCGUAAAGCGCGCGCAGGCGGCUUCGCGCGCCCGCCGUGAAAGCCCCCGGCUUAACCGGGGAGAGUCGGUGGGGACGGCGGAGCUUGAGGGCGGGAGAGGUCGGUGGAAUUCCCGGUGUAGUGGUGAAAUGCGUAGAGAUCGGGAGGAACACCUGUGGCGAAGGCGGCCGACUGGGCCGACCCUGACGCUGAGGCGCGAAAGCUAGGGGAGCAAACGGG